rnacentral:rRNA from 1 species
ACGGAGGGGGCUAGCGUUGUUCGGAAUCACUGGGCGUAAAGCGCACGUAGGCGGGUCAGUCAGUCAGGGGUGAAAUCCCGAGGCUCAACCUCGGAACUGCCUUUGAUACUGCUGGCCUUGAGGUCGAGAGAGGUGAGUGGAAUUCCUAGUGUAGAGGUGAAAUUCGUAGAUAUUAGGAAGAACACCAGUGGCGAAGGCGGCUCACUGGCUCGAUUCUGACGCUGAGGUGCGAAAGCGUGGGGAGCAAACAGG